UACGAAGGGUGCAAGCGUUACUCGGAAUUACUGGGCGUAAAGCGUGCGUAGGUGGUUUGUUAAGUCUGUUGUGAAAGCCCCGGGCUCAACCUGGGAAUGGCAAUGGAUACUGGCAAGCUAGAGUGCGGUAGAGGGUAGUGGAAUUCCCGGUGUAGCGGUGAAAUGCGUAGAGAUCGGGAGGAAUACCGGUGGCGAAGGCGGCAUCCUGGACCGGCAUUGACGCUGAGGAGCGAAAGCCAGGGGAGCAAACGGG
rnacentral:rRNA from 1 species